UAUGGCUGACUAGGCAUCCAGAAAAACAAACUUUGUAUUUCUUCACAAGUCCAGUAGUUUGAGCUUCAUGUAAGUUUGUUUUCCAAGGUGAAAGAUACCUUGUCUGGACCUAAAGAGCUUUUUCUUCUUCAUGGAUAGAUGUGCAUGGUGUCUUAUCGUGGUGGUCUUGAGCUGCAGACACAGUCACACCGCUCAUGG